rnacentral:lncRNA from 1 species
GCUGCAAUUUUCAACUGUCGAAUAUGGGCCCUGAGAGCUUCAUUUUCUCGAACCAAUCUUCUCCUUUCACACUCGACCUCAUGCGCCUAUAAAUCAUUGUUGAAUGUAAUAUUUCUCGACUCUUCUCGUAGAUUAUGGAUAGUGGCCUGAUAUUCCUUUACCUUUUCUCCCCAGGCUAACCUCUCCUGGAUUUGUCAUCAAAGGCUUGAACAUGGGGCCUUUUGGCAGGCCUCAUAGGUUCGGGCUCAG